rnacentral:rRNA from 1 species
GAUGAACGCUGGCGGCGUGCCUAAUACAUGCAAGUCGAGCGAACAGACGAGGAGCUUGCUCCUCUGACGUUAGCGGCGGACGGGUGAGUAACACGUGGAUAACCUACCUAUAAGACUGGGAUAACUUCGGGAAACCGGAGCUAAUACCGGAUAAUAUAUUGAACGGCAUGGUUCAAUAGUGAAAGACGGUUUUGCUGUCACUUAUAGAUGGAUCCGCGCCGCAUUAGCUAGUUGGUAAGGUAACGGCUUACCAAGGCAACGAUGCGUAGCUGACCUGAGAGGAUGAUCGGCCACACUGGAACUGAGACACGGUCCAGACUCCUACGGGAGGCAGCAGUAGGGAAUCUUCCGCAAUGGGCGAAAGCCUGACGGAGCAACGCCGCGUGAGUGAUGAAGGUCUUCGGAUCGUAAAGCCCUUUUAUUAGGGAAGAACAAAUGUGUAAGUAACUAUGCACGUCUUGACGGUACCUAAUCAGAAAGCCACGGCUAACUACGUG